GCAGUGGUGGUUCAGUGGUAGAAUGUUCACCUUCCCCAUGGGAGACCCAGGUUCACUUCCCGGCCAAUGCA
rnacentral:tRNA from 1 species